AACGAACGCUGGCGGCAUGCUUAACACAUGCAAGUCGAACGAGACCUUCGUGUCUAGUUGCGUUUUGGUGCGUAACGCGUGGGAACCUGCCCUUAGGUUCGGAAUAACUCUCCGAAAGGGUUGCUAAUACCGGUUAAUGUCUUCGGACAAAAGAUUUUUCGCGUUUGGAUGGGCCGGCGUUGGAUUAGCCAGGUGGUACGGUAAAAGCAUACCAAGGCGAAGAUUCAGACCUGGUCUGAGAGCAUGAUCAGCCACCCUAGGACUAAGACACGGACCAGACAGGUACGGGAGGCAGCGGUGGAGAGUAUUAGCCAAUGAACGAGAGCCUAGGAAAGCAACGCCGCGUGAGUGAUGAAGGCCUUAGGAUUGUAAAGCUCUUUUACCCGGAAUGAUAAUGACAGUACCGGGAGAAUAAGCUCCGGCUAACUCCGUG
rnacentral:rRNA from 1 species